AAUAGGGCGCUUUAGUUGCUAGUAAUAGACCCGAAACCGGGCGAUCUAGCCAUGGCCAGGUUGAAGGUUGAGUAACAUCAACUGGAGGCGCGAACCCACCUAUGUUGAAAAAUGGGGGGAUGAGCUGUGGAUCGGAGUGAAAGGCUAAUCAAACCGGGAGAUAGCUGGUUCUCCUCGAAAUCUAUUUAGGUAGAGCCUCAUGAAUAACCACUGGGGGUAAAGCACUGUGUCGGCUAGGGGGUCAUCCCGACUUACCA
rnacentral:rRNA from 1 species